AGUGAACGCUGGCGGUAGGCCUAACACAUGCAAGUCGAACGGCAGCACAGUAAGAGCUUGCUCUUACGGGUGGCGAGUGGCGGACGGGUGAGGAAUACAUCGGAAUCUACUUUUUCGUGGGGGAUAACGUAGGGAAACUUACGCUAAUACCGCAUACGACCUACGGGUGAAAGCAGGGGAUCUUCGGACCUUGCGCGAUUGAAUGAGCCGAUGUCGGAUUAGCUAGUUGGCGGGGUAAAGGCCCACCAAGGCGACGAUCCGUAGCUGGUCUGAGAGGAUGAUCAGCCACACUGGAACUGAGACACGGUCCAGACUCCUACGGGAGGCAGCAGUGGGGAAUAUUGGACAAUGGGCGCAAGCCUGAUCCAGCCAUACCGCGUGGGUGAAGAAGGCCUUCGGGUUGUAAAGCCCUUUUGUUGGGAAAGAAAAGCAGCAGGUUAAUACCCCGCUGUUCUGGCGGUACCCAAAGAAUAAGCGCCGGCUAACUUCGUGC
rnacentral:rRNA from 1 species